GACCGUUUUCACCAUCCUCUGCCUGUCCCUGCUGCAAGUAAACGCAGAAACCACAUAAUAAAAACUCCUUCACUCUCUCCUCCUCUACUGCAAAUCUUGACAUCCAAUUUAAACCCCUAAUUUCACUUUCUUCCAGAGGAUGGCAGGAGGUUCCCACCCCAAAUCCUCCACUCACAAACCCUCCUCCUCUUCCACCCCUGCCCCCCACCGCAAAUCCCGUUGGGAAUCUACCUCCAACAACAACAACAAUCCACCACCACCUCAAUCCAACCAGAAACUCCCUAAACCAAACCCUUCCCCAAAGCCUAACACUGGGCGAUCCCCCAAGCCCGCUACUCCUACUGCAGGCCCAAUCCAACCUUCACAAGUCCCUCCGUUCCCGUUCCCAGACCUCGGCCCUCCUCCACCACCUACCUACGGCUUUCACAUGCUUGAACGCCGCACUAUUAUGCUCGCCGACGGCAGCGUCCGUUCUUACUUAGCUCUCCCCCCAGAUUACCAAGACUUCCCUCGUCCUCCUCUUCCGCCGCGGUUCCUUCACGGUGGGCCCACCCCCGAAUUUCUUCCCGGUGGGCCUCGCUUCCCUCCACGGAGCCCUGAUGUGCUAGGUUUUCAAAAUCAGAAUAAGAGGAAAUUUGAAGAGGAAUUAGUGAAGCACGGGAAUAGUAGUAGUAGUAACUAUAACAACAACAAUUCAAAUGGGAGAAAUUAUACUUUGGGGGGUGCCGGGACUAGUAAUGCGGGGGAUGAAAUGAGAGCGGGGAAGCAAAUGAGGAUUAGUAGCGGUGAUGGUGUGGGGUUUGUCACUAGUAAUAAUAAUAGGAAUGUUGGUGAAGUGAACCAGAGUGAAUUAAAGAAAGCGUUUUUGCAUUUUGUGAAGGUGAUUAAUGAGAAUGAGGCUGAUAGGAAGAAGUAUUUGGAGGAUGGGAAGCAAGGGCGGCUUCAGUGUGUGGCUUGUGGCAGGUCUUCCAAAGACUUCCCAGACAUGCAUGCUCUUAUAAUGCACACGUACAGCUCAGAUAAUGCUGAUGUGCGUGUGGAUCACUUGGGCUUACAUAAAGCUCUCUGUGUUCUAAUGGGAUGGAACCAUUCAAAGCCUCCUGAUAACUCAAAGGCCUACCAAUUCUUACCUGCUGAUGCAGCAGGAGCAAACCAGGAUGAUUUGAUUAUGUGGCCACCAAUGGUGAUAAUUCAUAACACAAUUACAGGGAAGGGUAAAGAUGGGCGCAUAGAAGGUUUGGGAAACAGAGCAAUGGAUAGCAAAGUGAGAGAUCUCGGAUUUGUGGGUGGCAAGUCAAAGUCCUUGUACGGAAGAGACGGUCAUCUAGGCAUUACCCUUGUAAAGUUUGGUGGUGAUCAAUCAGGUCUGAAAGAGGCUGUACGGCUGGCAGACCACUUCGAGAAGGAUAAUCGUGGACGCAAAGCUUGGGGUUGCAUACAGCCUCUGACAUUUGGCAAGGAUGACGAGAAAAAUCCAAACCUUGUGAAGGUGGAUCGGAGUGGGGAGAAAAACAGGAUUCUAUACGGUUAUCUUGCAACAGUUGCUGAUCUAUACAAAGUUGAUUUUGAGACAAGGAAGAAGGUCGUGAUUGAGAGCCAUCAGGAACAUAAAGCAUCCAAGUAGACUAUGGAUGAUGACAUGAGGUACAAUGGUGUAAUUUAAUGUAUUGUCAUUUGAUCUGCAAACCUCUGAUCCUUCAUGGCAUUUUAUGCUGCAGAAGGUGAGGAGAGCUUCAUGUAGGCAUUUCAUUUUCCUUCUUUUGACUGACUUCAUCUUGGGUACGCAGGAAUUUUACAGGUUCAGGUCACUGAUUGUUUACAUGUUCCCCUGUUAUUCGCCCGCUAAUGUAUAGACAUGAGUUGGCAUCAUACUUGCAAGCAUUGAUUAUGCACGCUACCAUUUAUCUGUGCUAACUACACGUAGGAUUAAAUGCAUGGAAAAAGGGAGAUCUCUCUCAAGGAAAGAGUCUUCACGUGUGUGCUUGUUGAAGUCGGGAUGCCGAAAUGAAGAUGUUUUCUUUGGAAUUGAAGGGUGACAACUUGCACAGCGGUUUGGAUGGUUUAACUGGACGCAGCGCAGCCUGGCUUCUUUGGAAUUUAAGCGAAGUCGCCCAUUCUAAAAUCGUGGUGAUUUUCUUUUUUCUUUCUUCCUAAAUUCCGUGGGACCAUAAGAUCGUUUAUUUAUGCUGGUGGUGAGUGUAAUGUUAAUGACUGCCUGAUUGAUGGGUCGCACACUGACUCGCACUCUCAAAAGUUAUGAAGAUUUGAUAUCCUUAUGACACUGCUAGUAAAUAGGAGAAAAGACAUCUGAUAACCAUGCACUGAGAAAUUGUACGAGAAGAGGCCUUUAUCUUGGCCAAUUAUUUUCUGGGGUUCUUGAUAAUGACAAUGUUGUCUUAACACU